UGGGGAAUUUUGGACAAUGGGCGAAAGCCUGAUCCAGCCAUGCCGCGUGAGUGAAGAAGGCCUUCGGGUUGUAAAGCUCUUUUAGUCGGAAAGAAAGAGUUGCAAUGAAUAAUUGUGAUUUAUGACGGUACCGACAGAAAAAGCACCGGCUAACUACGUGCCAGCAGCCGCGGUAAUACGUAGGGUGCGAGCGUUAAUCGGAAUUACUGGAAGUAAAGGGUGCGCAGGCGGUCUUGCAAGUCAGAUGUGAAAGCCCCGGGCUUAACCUGGGAAUUGCGUUUGAAACUACAAGACUAGAGUGCAGCAGAGGGGAGUGGAAUUCCAUGUGUAGCAGUGAAAUGCGUAGAGAUGUGGAAGAACACCGGUGGCGAAGGCGGCUCCCUGGGUUGACACUGACGCUCAUGCACGAAAGCGUGGGGAGCAAACA
rnacentral:rRNA from 1 species